GUUCUGUGGCUCAAAUGGUUAGAACGCUGGACUAACGAUGCGGAGUUGUGGGUUCAAAUCCCACCAGAAACA
rfam:Aedes albopictus isolate Foshan contig74971, whole genome shotgun sequence.